rnacentral:tRNA from 2 species
GGGCGAUUAACUCAGUGGCGAGAGUGCUACCUUCACACGGUAGAAGUCACUGGUUCAAAUCCAGUAUCGCCCACCA